rnacentral:rRNA from 1 species
GCCUAACACAUGCAAGUCGAACGGUAGCACAGAGAGCUUGCUCUCGGGUGACGAGUGGCGGACGGGUGAGUAAUGUCUGGGAAACUGCCUGAUGGAGGGGGAUAACUACUGGAAACGGUAGCUAAUACCGCAUAACGUCGCAAGACCAAAGAGGGGGACCUUCGGGCCUCUUGCCAUCAGAUGUGCCCAGAUGGGAUUAGCUAGUAGGUGGGGUAACGGCUCACCUAGGCGACGAUCCCUAGCUGGUCUGAGAGGAUGACCAGCCACACUGGAACUGAGACACGGUCCAGACUCCUACGGGAGGCAGCAGUGGGGAAUAUUGCACAAUGGGCGCAAGCCUGAUGCAGCCAUGCCGCGUGUAUGAAGAAGGCCUUCGGGUUGUAAAGUACUUUCAGCGGGGAGGAAGGUGUUGUGGUUAAUAACCGCAGCAAUUGACG